AGGAGCGCUCGCUAGGCAGGAACCCGUGUACUUGACUCCAGCAGACAGGAGCAGUAGAUCACCUAGCUCUCCUGAACAUAGCUAGGAAGGAUUUGGUAAGACAGAAAGAAAGGGAAGAGCAGGCCAGUUUGCUAAACAGCAGGUGCGGGGGGAGGGAAUAUCUCCUAAAGAAUGUGGUAUUAACAAACAGGGUUCUUGUGUGUCCUACGAAAGAGAUUACCUGAAAGGGAUUUUAUCCACUUGAAAUAGUAGAUGGUAACAAUCCAAGGAUUCUGAUUGUCCAAGCUUAGUUUUCAAAUACGUACCUUGGGAAGAUCAGCACUAAGACACUUCACAAGAAGAGAAAUACUGCUCCCAAAGUUUCCAGGAUUUAACACACACACAGCAUAUAUUAGGAAUCCAAUGAACACAUAAUCCCAAAAAUUAUAAUGAAUUGGCUAUCCAAAAGAUUUUCUGAGACCUCCAAACUGCAUAAAAGUCUGUCAGAAAUCUAAUUAAUCAACUCUACUGUCUUGAAGCAAAAAUCACCAUAUGCUUUGUGCAGUUGCUUGGCUUAGUAAGGCCUUGAAAAUGCAGGUAUUUACUGAUAAAUUAGAGAGAAUGUGAAGUUUGAUGGAGUCUUAGUCAUAACAUUUUAAAACAAAUAGUAUUUGCAGUAAGAUAAAAGAUGAUUUAUAAAGGAUUAGCAAAAAUAUUUUGCUAAUUGUAGACAAGCACUGGUUUCAAACUCGACAUCCAUUUUGCCUACAGUCAUACAAUCCAGCUAUUCCCCCAUUACUGAAAACACAGGUGAAUAAGAGAAUAAUCUUCUUGCAUUUUGCAUGAGAAGAAACAAAACUUUAUAAAGUUAUUUUCUUCACUAAUGCCAGACAUAUUCCAUCCUUAUUUUAUUUCGGUAUUUUGCAGGAUGAAGUUAUAAUGGAAUAGCUUUCUGCAAAUGCUGCCAUUUUGUUGUGCGUAGUCAUUUAAGACUAAACAACUUUCUACAUAGGCUGUUUGUAUGUGGGCAGCAGAGUUGUUUUGUUAUUCUGUAUUACGUUGUUUAUGUUCUUAGAGGGUCAUCUUCCACAACAGCCUAUAAGAAGCACAAGGUUUUGUAAAGAUAUAUCCUCAGAUGAUCACAUUCCUGAGUGACAGCUUUUAUUUCUUAUUUAUUUAUUUACAGCUUCAUUCUGAGGGAGAAACCAACUAUUACCAGAGACACUCAGUUGCAGCCACUUCUCAUUUGGGCUUCCCUCCCAAUGUUGUGGAGUCCAACUUCCAUCAGCCUCAGCCACCACAGCCGGUGGUCAAGGAAGUUGGGAGCUGUAGUCCAACAAAAUCUGGAGGGCCACACAUUCCACAUCCCUGAGAAUCCCCCGGCCUAUGUACAACACUCAAUACCUGUUCCUUCAGUGGCAUUCAAAUAGAGCCACAUUUUAGAUUCAGCCUUAAAUGCUAAUAGUUGUCAUGAUCCAUUACCAAUCACUUUCCAGCAGAUAACUAAAAACCAUUAACAUUUUAAUUUAGGUUUCAGAUUGUAUACUCCACAAAAUAUUUACCAGCUAAAUCAACAUUCAUGCACUGUUGUAAUUCUGGAAUCAAAUAAGAAGGAAGGGAGGCAAUUGUUCUAUCCAGCUUGGAUAGUCACCCUUGCUUCUCUAUACAACUGUAUUACUAUCCAAUUCCAUUUAUCCUCAACAUAUGAGCAAAAUAAUUACUUGUACUGCAGUGAGCAAGGCUUCAACUUAAACUGGCUGCACUUCAAAAUCUCAUGAAAUUAGUAAUCUGUUGAAUACGUAUGCCUUGUAUCCAUAUCACAAGAACUUAUUUUAUAGAUGUUACGUAUGUCUCAUUGUUGCCAGACUCGUCUUUAUUCACUCUUGGUUUACCACAUGUUAGAGUUGACAGACAACAUCUACACAAACAUAUAUGAACAGGUGCAGGUACAAUAGGAAGCUGUGUUUCCACAACUCAUAGUGUACCUCUUGAAGAGAGGCAGAAGUCCCUGGUCUAUUUUCCAGUGACACAAAGUCAUGUGUAAAUAGGGGUCAUUCACUAAUUCCAGAUGUAGGUCUAAUUCUCACAAACAGCAGAUGAGGUUACAAACCCACGUGCAGACCGUACAACUUCAGACUGCAGGUGAAGACCCACACUUGAAUGCUUGUUCACAAGAAAACAACUUUUUAAAAACCCUGCACACAAUUAACAUAGCAGGAGAAAGCAGUGAUCAAACUGGGCAAUCAAAUGGGAAAUGCUGUUCAGUGUAACAACAAGUGUGGCUUUGGGCUCCUACUGGGAGUAAGGGUGGGAUAUAAAUGCAAUAAAUAAAUAAAUAAUAAAGUGAUGCACAUUGGGGCAAAAAUCCUAACUUCAAAUAUAUACUGACUAUAUAUUCUUUGCUGCUGCUGAUUGACCAGGAAGACAUCUUGGUGUCAUGGUGGAUUAGCUUU